CAUCAUGCAGUAUUUAUUUAAUGUUUAAAUUAUUAAUAGUCAUUCAUAUAUCUUUUAAACCAGUAUAACAAACAAAAAAAUCGAUGUAUUUUUCCAGUAGGCCAUUGGACAGUUCAUGAGGCAGAUAAAGCAAAUAAGAAAGGGGCUAAAAGAAACCAUGUUGUGGCCAUUCAUCAGUGAACGUCCAGAUGUAGCUCCUAUAAUUUUCCCUCGAGAGUUUAGUGCUGUGUUGACCCCAGAGCACAUUCUGGAAUGCAUCAGCUGGCCUACAAUGACUGAUGAAGAUGUUGACGAUGAUGAAUGCUCUUUGAUGGACAAGAACCGCAUGACUGGUUACCUUCGCCGGUUCAUUGAAAAUGCAUCCAGUGAUGAACUGAAGGCACUUGUGACGUUCUGGAUUGGAUGGGAGAAACCGACGACUACCCUCACAGUGUGUGUGAGACUGAAUGUUGCCUACCAAAAUCUUCUACAUGCUUUGAGACUCUCCGUCUUCCUGCCCGCUACAAGGACUUCUCUACAUUUAAGGAAGAAUUGAUUGCCUGCAUUCAGACAUCUGACACUGGAUUUGGAUUGGUGUAAUGGCCAUGCUUAAAUGUAGCCUUUGUAUAAGGCAGUUUUCAUCAUUGUUUUUGCUCAGUGUUGGAUAUGCAAUCAAGGCCAUCCAUGUUCACAAACCGAAAGGGGGUGAGGCACUGGUUCAUGUGUUCAGAGGCCUACUGUUUUACAAACACCCUGUUUUAACAAAGUUAUGGUAAACAUGACUGUACUAUUUUGCUAGUUUUUGGUUCUGGUUGCAGUGGGGAAAAAAAGAUUAACAGAAAAGAAUACAGCAAAUGGCAUUUUCACUACCAAUGGUUGAGGGGAAAAAAUUGUCAGCCCUCUGGAAAUGAAAAAAAAGAUUAUUAGGAGAAAAGAAUACGGCAAAGGACAUGUUCACUACAAAAUGUUGGGAAAAACAAUUGUCAGCCAUCUGGAAAUAUAACAUUCUUGAAUUACUCAAAUGGUAUGUUCUUUGUUCAAACUUUGAAAUAACAGGCCAUCAAGUUUUGCUGAUUUUAUUAUGUUUUAGCAGUGGUUAAACUUAUACGACUGUAUUGAUGAAUUAGUUCUUAGAUAAAAUAAUGAACAGGUCUUCUAAAGUAAAUGUCUAUUACAGCAAUCCUGAAAACUGGUACGUGUUCACUAAUUUGGGUUUAUUAGGCAGCUUACAGAUUUCAAACACAGAUUAGUUUUGUCUUUGUCAAUGUACACAUUUAAAUUCCUUUAAAUGUGGCCUUGGACUCAGGACAGUGUAUUGUGUGAUCUCCUGAGUAAGCCUUACUGUAAGCACAGUAGGUGCUGGACAUACUGGACAGUAGCCAGGUAGAUGUCUGCACCAUGUGACUCUGAUUGUCCCAGGGGAUUUAUGGCUGCCAUCAGAGCAGCCAUUUGUUCAGCACUCAGUACAUUCCCCAUCUCAGGCACAUUGACUCCAUAGUUUUGUUCACCAGGCAUUCUACUGUCCUCCCAGUCCAAAUGUGGUAGAUACAAUCCCUGAAAAGCAGAAAAAUGUUUAUGUAUGAUCAAGGAUCCCUAAACUUAGACAAAAUACACGUGAUAACAAUGCAUAUAGCAACAGUGAUGUGCAGCAAGAAUCUGCUGUUGUGAGCCAUAACAGCUAAGCAGUGCAAGACAGGCCUUGGUAAUGAAGUUGAUCAGCCACAGUUACAGUAACUGAGCAUUGAUUUUUUUUUUUUUUUACAAGUUUUG